AGUCCAUGUAAAAAAUUGAUGAUAUCUCUGUAUCUCCACAUAAUGAACAUUUUCCUUAGCUAAUCUCACCUGCUUUGCAUUAUUUCUAAUCAGUAUUCAAAGCGUUUAAAGUGUUCGUCUUGGUGGAAGAGCUGUGGUCUUAUUUAUAUGUAUUUUGCAAAGUUUUGAAUGCUAAGUACCUCACUUAUUUUAAAACUCUAGUUUAAUAAUAGUAUAUUUUAAAAUUUUGAACUACAUUUUCCUGCCUUGUCAAAUUCAUAGCAAGUAAGGAGAGAAUUGACAUUUCAGCCUUAUCUAGAAAAAGAAUUAUAAACUCAGAACGGUGCCGUGCACAGAAUAAUAUGCCCCAAAUUCUUUGUUUUUUUAAAUUGAGGCCAGCUAUACAUAAGUAGUAUUUGUUAAAUGAGUAAAUAUGCCAUACUAAUUAGCUACUUUAGGAACAUCAAAACGUAUAUUGUUUAAUUUGUUCGUGAAACCAUCAGUGUUGACUAAUUCAGAUGAUUGCAAAUUUAUUUUUUUUUUAAAGUGAAUGCUUAAAUUUUUCUUUUUUAGAAAAGGCUUUUUUUCUCCCCCUCCCCAAAGCCCUAGUACAUAGUUGUAUAUUCUAGUUGUAGGUCCUUCUAGUUCUUCUAUGUGGGACACCGCCUCACCAUGGCUUGAUGAGCAGUGAGUAGGUCUACACCCAGGAUCCGAAUCAGUGAACCCUGAGCCGCUGAUGCGGAGUGCACAAACCCAACCACUCUGCCACGGGGCCAGCCCUAAAUGCUUAAGUUUUAUUCAUAAUUUUUUUUUCAGCUUUCUAAAUUCAGGCAACAACUCACAAACAAAAUCAACAAUAAAGUGAAUUAUUACAGUUUCUGGACUUAGUUCCCCGUAGUGUUGGGCAAUAUCAUACAGUUUUGGGAAGGACUUCUUUAAGGGAAAGACAACUUUAUCUGAUCAGUCUAGUUUUCUGAGGAGUCUUUAGCACUUCGUGCUUUGGGUAUUUCGCUUUUGUCGUAUUCAGAGAAUGGUGAAAACCGAAGAUUUCUCCAAAUUAAGCGAGCUACUCUUAAGUCCUUAUCUCUGUCACUAUGGUCUGUACAUUUUAAGACCUAAUGAUUAUUAUUUCUCCAAAGAUGGGAUUAGUGUCCUUGGCAGCUGUGCAAUUCUAGGGGCUUGUGCUUGUACAUUUAAUUUCUUGUUAAGUAUUUCUAAUCGAAAGUGUAAGAGGGUCAAUGUAGUAAAUGCCUUACAAAACUGGACAGUCUAUCUUCAGGGAUGUUAAGAGGAGAUGUUCAUUAUCUAGAUUUAAAGGAUCAAGGUCUCCCAAAACUGGAGAGCAAUCACUAUAGUUGUAAGAAAUUGUAGUUUCCUGAAGAGCAUUCUUGACUUCUGAGUAACUAAAAAGAUGAUCAGUUUGCCCCACAAUGCUCAGCUUCAGUUCCACCGUUCUGGCUUUAUAUUCUUUAUUAACAACAACUUCCAUUUGAAUCUGUUUUUCCAUUUUUUACCAGUUUAGUUUUUCCAUUAUUGUUUGUGUAUCCAGCUGUUUAUUUUAUUGGGAUACAAAGUGAGCCCUUGUGUUCUAUAUUGCCAUAUUGUUUGUAUGUCUUAGAUAUAUACAUAUAUGCACUAUUUCAGUAGAAAUUCAUUUAUUUUAUAGUUGAUAAACUCUUCAGAAUGUCUGUUCUCUCCUAUAAAAAGCAAUGGGAUGCUAGGUAAAAAUGGAGAGUUGAGCAAAGUACUUGUUAGCCUUUGCUCUUUCCUAAAAUCUCCACUAAAAUCACAGUGACUGGGGAAAGAACAAAGCAUAAUCCAACAAGGAACAAGGAAUACUGAAGAGAAGAUAAUAAGAACAAAAUUUUGGAAACUGGAAAGCAGAUGGAAGAGUAGUAUCUGACUUGGCGGACCCAGGAAAGCCAAAUCCUAAACCAGCAGUAGAAACGUGAGCCCAGUUUGCAUUAAGAUUUUGGGAUUUGGCCUUCAAGACUUUUUUCUAUGCAUGUGGCUAAAGGCAUAUGCACACUUUUGUAACCCACCUUUAACACUACAUUGAUAUCGUAUCUACAUCAUUUUAAUGACUAAAUAUUUCCUUCUGUGGCUAUAUUGUACAUUUUUAAAAUUAACCAAUUCCUUCUUGUUUGGAUGCUUAGGUUUUCAGAUUAUACAUUAUUUUAAACAGUCCUAGAAGGGAAAUUCUAAGCGUAAUAAUAAAAUGAAUUCCUAAAAGUGGAGUUGUUAGAUUAAAGGUUUUUUAAAGGUCAUUGAUAAAAAUUAUGAUGUUGUCUUCCAGAUAGAUACUUCUACCAUCAACAUGUAAGAAUACUUCCACUGUUCGCAUAUUAUCAUAUAGCUAAAUUUUUUUUAAUCUGAGAACCCCACGCUUAAAAAUUCACAUGUAUGCAGCUACAUGAAUUUAUUAGAAACAAUAGUGGAAGACUCCUGCUUAACUGACUUUAUGAGCUUU
rnacentral:lncRNA from 1 species